rnacentral:rRNA from 1 species
CGGACGGGUGAGUAAUGCUUAGGAAUCUGCCUAUUAGUGGGGGACAACAUUCCGAAAGGAAUGCUAAUACCGCAUACGCCCUACGGGGGAAAGCAGGGGAUCUUCGGACCUUGCGCUAAUAGAUGAGCCUAAGUCAGAUUAGCUAGUUGGUGGGGUAAAGGCCUACCAAGGCGACGAUCUGUAGCGGGUCUGAGAGGAUGAUCCGCCACACUGGGACUGAGACACGGCCCAGACUCCUACGGGAGGCAGCAGUGGGGAAUAUUGGACAAUGGGCGCAAGCCUGAUCCAGCCAUGCCGCGUGUGUGAAGAAGGCCUUUUGGUUGUAAAGCACUUUAAGCGAGGAGGAGGCUACUUGGAUUAAUACUCUAGGAUAGUGGACGUUACUCGCAGAAUAAGCACCGGCUAACUCUGUGCCAGCAGCCGCGGUAAUACAGAGGGUGCGAGCGUUAAUCGGAUUUACUGGGCGUAAAGCGUGCGUAGGCGGCUUCUUAAGUCGGAUGUGAAAUCCCUGAGCUUAACUUAGGAAUUGCAUUCGAUACUGGGAAGCUAGAGUAUGGGAGAGGAUGGUAGAAUUCCAGGUGUAGCGGUGAAAUGCGUAGAGAUCUGGAGGAAUACCGAUGGCGAAGGCAGCCAUCUGGCCUAAUACUGACGCUGAGGUACGAAAGCAUGGGGAGCAAACAGGAUUAGAU